UCCGCUACAGUUGCCGGUGUAAAUUCUGAAAGUGGAUUAGAAAAGUUAAUAAAUGUACGAUAACAAGGAUAAUAUAGCAGACAAAACUCAAACUAGCCUUGUGUUUUGUGCCUCGCAACACUUCGGAGGACCUACUUGAUAGUUUGCAAAAGAAUGAAUAAUCGAAUAAUUAUGGCCAACAACACAUUCUCAGCCAACGAUGAUGUCCUUAACAUGAAGGGCACCGAGGAAAAUGAUGUAAAGAUCGACAUGGAUUUUCCAUCUCAGGAACCAAACAACAUGAGUGCCAAAUGCUGUGGACAACCGGAGAAUAAGCCGGAGCUGUGCAAAGUGGGUCUGUUUCCGAAAUAGCAGAUAAAUUGUAAUGCGUUCUGAAAAAAGGAAUAACAGAAGUCCGUGAUCCUUUUUGAACGAUUUUUUUUUUACAAUUUUCGGGUCAUGAAAAUGAAAAUGCAUAAGCGAUCCCCAACGUCCUGCACUGAUCGAUGCGGGCAUGGCAGCACAAUAUAUGUGCAAGAAAAGUAUACAAACACUGGACAGCCUUACCGAUGCACUAGUUGCGCGGGCUCCCCAGGAAAAGCAAUUCAUAAAAAUCGUCAGAAACGAAGAAACGCAAGAACUAAAAGAUGCGGAACAGAACGAAGACUUUCCUUUUAUUAUUGCCCGGACGCAGCCCGACGAGCGCUACUCACCAAGCCGAGCCCGCGAAAUAACUGAUAUGCAAAGAAUUCCCUCCAACAAUACUUGCCUGUGUUUUUCCGUCAGUGUUCUUGUUAGUGGUGUGGUAUGGUUCUUCGUAUGGUGUGGUCUAAAAGUGCUCGACAUGGAUAAGCUUACACAAUUUUGAUGAUACAUAUUAACUAGCAUCAUGAGAAAGUUAAACUACUUCUUUUUGUUUUUAUUUGGCGAAACAAGUGUACUCGGUAUGUUCUGCUAUAAGCCACUACUGAACAUGGCCAUUUAAUAGGUUUUCACAGGUUCGGAUAAUAUUGAGACAUUUUCUUGACUGUAUCUUAAGGGGAAAUGGGCUCUAUAGCAGCUUUUUCGAACAAAUCCAAUAGGAAUUUCCAAUCUGACUGUUCCCAAAGAGUGCUGUAGAGUUCAAUUCCCAUCACAUCCGAUUAUGUUAGAUAUAUUGUUCAGUCGAGCGAGUGGACGAUUGCAUUACGAUACGAGAUUGAAUACAAACAGUGCCUUACUCAUAUACACCAAACAUGACUAUACGCUUAGAUAUAUGCAAUAAUACAGGACCGAGUGUAUAACAUCUACAACAUACCUGUAAAACACAUAAGAAGUCAUAUUACAUUCAUCCAAAUGGCAACAAUUGGCAAGGAAAACUAUAGCCUUCAUGAGCAAGUAGAUCCAGAAAAGUGCACAAGAAACACUCGGCAAUAUACCACACUCUUGUGCAUCACACAAUUAUACGAUACUUAUACUCCUAGUAAUAGUUUUAUUUAAAACGAUUCUUAGUACCAAAACUCCAAUUUGCCUGAGCGAAUAUCAAAAUUAAAAGAAUGCUCAAUGUAAUCCGAUCGUGUUCAUGUUUUCACAACGGCACCAUAAAAUGUAUCAGGAACAUAAGUGAUAUUGCUAUUUAUUGAGCAUUUAGAUUUGCAUGUUAUGCGAAAAACUCGUAAUAAGGGGUACUCGUUAUAGCAGGUUAGACUGAACUUGUUCUAUUGAAUCAACUGUUGAACGAUACCGAAAAGGCAGAGUGUUGGAUAAAAAAUAUUAAGAAAUUUUAAAUGUUAAUCAAAAUCAAGAAAUGAAGAAAAGUAACGAAAAUUUACAAAAUCAAUCAAAAACGAAUUUCCUGUUCUUAUUAUAAUUGCUACAAUACGUAAAAUAAAGACUCAAGAGGGGUAAAAAAGAAAA